GAUGAACGCUGGCGGCGUGCCUAAUACAUGCAAGUCGAGCGAACGGACGAGAAGCUUGCUUCUCUGAUGUUAGCGGCGGACGGGUGAGUAACACGUGGAUAACCUACCUAUAAGACUGGGAUAACUUCGGGAAACCGUAGCUAAUACCGGAUAAUAUUUUGAACCGCAUGGUUCAAAAGUGAAAGACGGUCUUGCUGUCACUUAUAGAUGGAUCCGCGCUGCGUUAGCUAGUUGGUAAGGUAACGGCUUACCAAGGCAACGAUGCAUAGCCGACCUGAGAGGGUGAUCGGCCACACUGGAACUGAGACACGGUCCAGACUCCUACGGGAGGCAGCAGUAGGGAAUCGUCCGCAAUGGGCGAAAGCCUGACGGAGCAACGCCGCGUGAGUGAUGAAGGUCUUCGGAUCGUAAAACUCUGUUAUUAGGGAAGAACAUAUGUGUAAGUAACUGUGCACAUCUUGACGGUACCUAAUCAGAAAGCCACGGCUAACUACGUG
rnacentral:rRNA from 1 species